rnacentral:rRNA from 1 species
UACGAAGGGGGCUAGCGUUGCUCGGAAUCAUUGGGCGUAAAGCGCACGUAGGCGGUUCGUUAUGUCGGAUGUGAAAGCCCUUGGCUUAACCGAGGAAGUGCAUCCGAAACUGGCGAGCUAGAGUACGAAAGAGGAUCGCGGAAUUCCCGGUGUAGAGGUGAAAUUCGUAGAUAUCGGGAGGAACACCGGUGGCGAAGGCGGCGAUCUGGGUCGAUACUGACGCUGAGGUGCGAAAGCGUGGGGAGCAAACAGG